ACCCGACGACAAGAUGACCGCCGCGCCAAGUUCAAACAAAGUCAAAGGAGCGCUGUCGCUGACUUGUCGAAAAAUUUGUUUCUUUUAGAGUAAAUUAGAGAUCCAGACCCAAAUGAGGAGAUAUUAACAGUACAGUAGGAGCAGGAAAGGAGUUUUCAAUCCUCAGGACCAACUCAGGAAGGUGUUCUUCAUGGACAAAUCUCAGAGCUUUGGGAUCAAGCAGAGCACACCUAGGACCCGUUUCAUGAUGAGUCACAACUACUGUAACGGUGUCAUUAAGGCAACUACCAUGGUAACAUGGCUCAGCAACCAAUCAUAUUCAAAGUUACCAUGGUAGUUGCCUUAAUGGCAAAGUUACAAUAGUUGAGAAACUUUUUAUGAAACGGGGCCGCAAGAGGAUGGAGCUCCCCGUCAUCCACCAUCAUCCAGCGCAGUGCAGGGCUUGAUGGUCAUCUUGUGGUGCUGCUAGCUGAUGAUGGGUCAAUGAACUUUGCUGGGACAGCCUGGAAAUGCAAAGAUGGAUCCAGUGCAGUACGGAGCAUGAUGGUCAUCUUGUGGUCCUGCUUGCUGACUAUGGGUCAACAAACUUUGCUGGGACAGCCAGGAAAGGUGACAACAAUGACCAAGGUCUUGUUACUAAACUGAAGGAUACCCCGGGAUCAAGGAAGCAGCGUUAGGCAAGGCCCGUGUCUUAGGCCUUGACCUCCACUGGACAACAGUAUGCCUUUUGAAUCAGCAAUAAAGGUCAAUGUGGACAAGGGGUCAUUGCUGGACAUCCUGCCAACGAAGACCAGCAGCUGAGAAGAUUCUUUCAGGUUGGAGGACCAGAGCAUUUGACCUCAUUGAUUGCAGGGGUAGGCCCUAGACCUCACAAACGUGGCUUCCUGUCUGGUUUGAGCUGGGAUCUUCCUGCCAGAAUCACACAGUUAGUGACGUCACUACCAAGAGACCUAUUUUUCAGUGGGCAGAGAAGGGCACUGGACACCGUUGAGCAUGGUAUGCAGCUUCCAUAAUUCAUAUCACUCAAUGUACAGCAUGGAUACAUCCCUAUCUUGUGUGAACCAUCUUCCAGCAUGAAUAAGAGAGCUAGUUUACCACAGACAAGGACAUGACACCAAUCUUGAAAUCAUCAUCUACAAGGAAUGGAUAGUGUGAGCAGUUAUUGAUGUUUAGUCAUAUCACUCCGUGUACAGAAUGGCUACAUCCCCUAUCUUGUGUGAACCAUCUUCCAGUAUAAAUGAGAGAGCUACAUGUAGUCUACCAGAGUCAAGGACAUGACACCAAUCUUGAAAUCAUCAUCUACAUGGAAUGUCUGGAUGAGUAUGGGAAUUUUGCCAUAGUUUCAGAAGCAAACGGUCAGAUCUCUACAUUUAUUAUUUGGAGGUUGUAUACAAAAAUACAAUUAUGCAUAUUGACUUGGUAUGCAUUUUUUCACAUAAAUAAAAAAUCAAAUUUUACAGCCACAUUUUUUCCAUUUUUCUUUAGGGAACUCUUAUUUAUUGAAUUAUGAGUGGGGAAUAUUACAAAAGACGGCAACAAUUUCCAAGGACACAAAGGGGCAUUUAGUCCAGUAAACGGGCAUCCACAAAUUAUUUAUUAUCAAACAAAUUGAAUGAACCAAAUAGGUAAAAUAUAUUGAAAAAAUGUUAUUUUAUUUAAUAUGUGACUUUACCUUUGCUUGCCAUAUAUAUUGCCCCAUUUACACAAUUUAUGGUAUGUGAAAAAAUAAGUUUUUAAAAACUUUAUGGUAUAUGAUUUGAGAAAGUGGACAGUUUCCACUUUCCUUUUAUGCUGAUGUUAAAGUCACAUUUGAAUGAUUCAAAACAGAAAAAAAAGGUUAAUUUACCCAAAAUCAGUGAUUUGUUUAAAUAGGACAAUUUACAUGGCCAGUGAGGUUAUAUGCAUUUGCUACUCAUGAACACAUUUGUAUGUGUUUGAUAAUGGAUCCACGGGGCAGGUCCAAACUAUUAUCUGUAUCUCAAUUAUAUGUUCUUUCAUUAAUGGAUGCAUACAAUGUAGGGCAUACUUACUAGAAAAAAAAAGGAUUUGUGCAUAAUGUUGGAAAUGUUUCCAAGUAUUGUGAGGCUUAGAAUUGUUUGGUAAUCAAGCCUUGAAUGUAUUUGUGGAGAAUUCUUGUGUUAACUAGUCUGCAAAAGUGGAUCCAAAGGUUUUCCAGAGUUUUUGCCUUUUGUGUUUUAUCUCUGGUUUUUUACCCUGGAUCUACUUGUCGUAGAAUUUCUUAACACAAACAUUUCUCCCUCCCAACUUCUGUGCACAAUACCUUUAUAAUAUUCUCCAUGAAUGUUGUUAAUAUGUUCUGUCCAAUUUGGUCAAUUGUUACUCAAAGGAGGGUGAUAGAUCAAAUGCACAGAGAAUGAUAUGUGUGGUGCUAUUAAUCUCUAACCCUAAAAAGACUUAAAAACAAACAAGCAAAUCUUGCGCAACGUUUGAGACCAAAUUUACAACUCCUGGGUCUGCAGUUCCAAAAUUAUAAAACAUGUAGUUACAUGUCAGACAUCAAAUUGCUAAGAAAAGCCUUUAUUUCAUGAACUGUAAAAAUCCAAUGCAAAUUCUAUUUCUAGCCAAAAUUCAUAACUGUGUCAUUAAUUUUUUUUUGCAUCAUUAAAAAAAUGAAAACAAAGAAAUACAUAACAAAUUGCAAAAAAUAAAAUACAUAAUAGAGCAUUUUGAUAACAAUUAUUCUUUGUUGUGUGUUUGAUCUGAAUCCAGCAAAGAGUCUCCAAACAAAAACAUAUCAGUACUUUAAGAGCUUUUUUUUAUAGAUUCAAGCAAAAAUUCUGAUUUUAUGCAGUAAUUAGCAUUAUUAAUUGAUGAAGAAUUAAACUUGAAUAAUUUUGGAGCAAUCAUACAUACAAUUUUGUAGAUUAUACAUGUAUCAUGGUUGACAUGUGUAUUGAUUUUCAUCAUGCUUGCACAAUCAACUGCCGAGAACUUUAAGGGGGAAAUUUAGCUCUUCAUCAUUCCAGCCUCGAAGAUACCCAAGUCUUAUUUUGGUCAAUCUAUUCAUUAAAGCAUAUUUUUCAGUUCAAUUUUGAAUAACUUUUGCUUAUAGAAAUUAAAGAUACAAGUGAAAAUAACUUUUUACUUAAAUUUAUGCUUUUACAGAUAUUGGAGAAAAUUUAAAAUGCUCUUUUUACACCACAAAUCCUGUUUUCAUUCUUUUCAAGGGGUUGGCAUUGCUGACAAUGACUUACUCACAUAUAGUUGUUAUUAGGUCAUAGGUCACAGAUAUCAAUUUGUAUCCAAAAAUUUGUUGUUCUUGUGAUUAGCAAAGAAUUGGUUCAUUGUAUACCUGAAAAUAUCACUUGCCCUGCGACAACUUCAGGUUUGAUUCAGGGAUCGAUUUUAAACUUUGCUCAUGAAUGCAUAUGUGAGUAAAGAUCUCAUUACAUAUUUUUUGGUCACAAUGGCAAAGGUCAUGAGGUUAUUAUUUUUAAUUGUAUGUGUGUUAGUCUGGCAAUGGUGAAUGUAUUAACUUCGACUGCAUGCAGUUAAGAAAUUAUUUAGUUUCUCUUAAUUAUUCAUGGCCCUAAUAUUUUAUUAGAGAAAAAAAUUCCACUCUAUAUAGGCUAGUGUUUGAAAGCGUUUGUUACUUAAUUUAUUACUUUAGAUUUUAAAAUGUUUAUGAAGCUAGCAAAACAACUCUGAAAAGUGUUUCACAAGUGAAUAAAUACAAUUUAAAAAGUCAUGCCUAAGUGUGAGUGUGCAUGUAAUAUUUAAUGCACAGUCUUAUUGAUUCGUAUGCACCAGCGUAUGAGUCCUCUGAGCGUGAUCCAACCAGUAUUGUGACCCAUUAUUUUCCGUGUGCAAGUGUAAAUUCAAAAGUGAAUUGAAUCACACACUUAAAUCUUUGUGAAACACCUCUUUAGUUUGUUGUGUCAGAUAGCUUGGACUUGCCCUGUAAUGUACUAUUGUCUGUAUCAUAAUUAUACUUGAUUUGUAUUCAUCAUUUUUUUUUCUUUCUUGAAUAAAAUGUAAGACCAGCAGCCGAGAAGAUUCAUUCAAGUUGGAGGACCAUGGCAGUUGACCUCAUUGAUUGCUGGGGUAGGCCCUAGACCUCACAAACAUGGCUUGCUGUCUGGUUUGAGCUGGGAUCUUCCUGCCAGAAUCACACAAUUAGUGAUGUCACUACCAACAGAUCUGUUUUUCAGUGUGCAGAGAAGGGCAUUGGACACUGUUGUGCAUGGCAUACAGCUUCCUUAAUGUAAGUGCUUUAUUGAUGAUUUCAAUGAUAUCUUGCGUAGCCUAGAGUAUGUGAGACAAAUGCAAACGGUUUUCCAGCAAUUAUUAUGGUAUUCUGAGGGUAAAUAUAGAAAUAUUGGGCAGAAAUAUCUAAAUUGCACUUAUUUAAUUCAUGGCAUUUUCUUUACUUUUUGGAAUGAAAUUCUUUUCAUGAAAAUCCAUAAAAACAAUACCAUUACUCCACCCUCCUCUUUGGUUUCUACUUGAAAAUACCAGUAUUAUCUGUUUAUCCAUGAAUUGCAGUCUCUUGUACCUCCCUGUACUAUCCACUCAAGCUGUCACUCUGAAUUCAUCUUUUUUUACACCCUCUCAACACGAUAUUCACCAUGACUGAUAUGAUGAUAAGACAAUUUGUGAUUAUAUUUAUAAAUUUCAAUUACAUU